GGAGUGAUGUCCCUCAGCAAACCUUUUGGUGGCAGGGCAGUGUGAGUUUGCCCACAUCCUGCAUUCAUGAUAAACUGUUUUUUGAUCAUAUAGCCUCCAGCAGAAUGCUGAGUUGGUCACAUCCCACAGGCCUUCGGCUCCCUGCAAUUGUAUACCUUAAAUUUCUGUAUCACUAAGAUGCCAAUGUUUUAGUGAAAAAGAAAAUAGAGUGUAAAAUUCAAUAUCACCUAUUUGUCUCAACUACAAGUACAGUGAGUAUUAAACAACAAUGACAAUAUAGAAACAAAAACAGAACUUGUAGAUUUGCCCAAAUUAACUCUCUUUCUCCAAAUUUGAGGUGUAUGGCAAGUUGAAUGUUUGUUCUUUCAGCAAUUGUUAGUUGCAUUAUCAGCUUAACACUUUCAAACAGUGCAGGAGGCAUUUCUCCGUUCACAUAGACUUAAGUACAUAUAUACUGGGCUGUAAAUAGUUUGCCUUCCAUGUUUGGUCUCUAAGCACUAAAUAGGUAGACUUCAAAUCAGUCUAUGUGACCCAGUGGCCCUCUCUUCAGAGGCAUCAGUAAUGCAUUUGGCAAAUGUCUUGAAACAUGAAUUGUAAAUUGACAUAGGUACAACCUUGAUAAUAAGAGUCCCAAAUACGUAGUUUUUAAAAUGUUAACCUUAGGGGGAAAAAAUUAUAAUGAUCAUCAGCCCUAUUUCCUGAAAAUUCAGUUGAGGUAACCUCUGCAAGUCACAGCUCCACAUUUACAUACAGUUCUGACCCUCUUUUUGGCUGGGCUGUGGUCAAUAGAAUCUGAAGAUACAUCUCCAGAACCUUUCAUUUGAUAAUCAAAAGUCAGCUCUUCUCCAGCAUUUUUGGUUCUCGUGGAAAACAUUGCUAUUCAGGGAAGACGAGUAUUGUUGUAGGAGUUAUUAAGAAAUUAUUUUAGGCAGAUAGAGAGGAAAAGGGGUCCUUGGGAAGUUUUCAUUUUUUAAAGCAUCUCCGGAAAAGUUUCUUGUAAAGCCCCAGCUCUUAGAGCCAGGCUGUGAACCUGACUCCUCCCAAAGUUGGUUCAGCCUACGCCCAGUGAUUGGCAAGGACAGCUUGUGAGCUGGAAACAAAAUGAAGUUGUUUGGGUUGGAUCUUUUUCACGGUCUCAGUCACAAUUUUGCAAUGACAGUUUCAAAAGCUACCUAUCACUCCUUUGAAAAUACCUUGUACACUGGCGGUUAAGUCAUAACCUAAUUAAGGCUCGUUGGUUUCACCUGUGAGGUUACUCUUUGUAAAGUUCAAAAGCCAAAAAUCUUAACUGCUUGGCGUGGCUGAAGUCAAGUAACAAGGGAUUUAAAAAGAAUUUCUUAAAGAGCGCUCAGCUUAAUUAAAAGUGAAUAUUCAAGUUUUAGGUAUAUUUAAAAGGCCUUUAUGUUUUUCUUUUCUUGGAUCUUGUUUUCUGGAAAAAGGUUCUUCUCAGUCGGCUGAAUUAUUUUCUUCCAUUUUUUUUUUUUUUUUGUCUUGCCACUCUUAGUGCAUGCAUGAAAGGCCCUGAGAUAACUUCUGGUAGCAUGGGACUCCUUGGGAAAAAUAGAGGAGGUGCCACAGACCCUGUUUUGGGGAAAAACCUGUUUUCCUCAUGAAACCCCAGAAAUUAAAAGCAAAUAGUUCCCUCUCAAAAUCAAAGGCUCUGUUCUGUUUUGCAUUAUCUGAUGGUUUUGAGUUUUGCGGUAUCAGAAAUUACUCCGCAUUGUAAGAGAGCUUUGGUGUAUAAUAACUAGGUAAAAAAUACCCUGUAAGGGGUGGCUAAUAAUAGUUAUAAAUCAGAAAAGCAUGCUCUUGGCCACCUGAAAAAUAAGGAAACAUCCCCACCCCACACUGGGAGAUGAGACUCCCGUCAGAGAUGGGCUAAUUACAAAAUAAGCCAGUUGGCUUUGGGUUGCCUUGCAAUGAAAUGCAUGGUAGAAGCACUAUACUGUCUUCUCCUCUAGUAUCUAUAUGGUCUUUUCAUAAAUUAAGCAUUGAAAUAAAAGCAUAGCAAGGAGGUCUUAAAACACUACUCUGCCUUUUAGUAAAAGGGUUAUAAAAAGUUUGUAGAAAUUUCACUUCAUGGUCAAGUUGGUUAGGAUUAGAUGGAAUAAUCUAUAAGGUUUUAUUUAAACAAAUUAGGGUUAACAUUAACAAACUAAUACAAGGGUAAAAUUUGGUUUUAAACAGGAUUUCCAUGUCAUAGUAAAGGCUAAUAAAAGGUUUUUGACUUUUAAGUCAUCAUUUGGGCAAAAUAAUCUAUGGCAGUCUGGGAACUGUCCUUCCUAAUUGGCUUUUUGGAUGGUUCAUAGGGCCCCUGAAACAUUUAAAAAAGAGAUAAACAGGAUUAUUUGACAUGUUUAGUCACAUGAGAUUGCCAAAAUGAUGUCCAAUCUUCUUUAAGUUAUAUUUUGGUGAAUAAUACUAAUAUAUGUUCAAAAAUUGUAUGGGAUUUCUAAAAUUCUAAUGUCUAAGUAUAUGCUCUCAGUCAUAAUUAAAGGUAAAGUUAUCGUAGACCAUGGAUAUACACAAACUUCUUUGUCAGUCAUGUUUUUAAUUGUAACUACCCAGGAAAUGUUGCCAUUCGCAGACAAGUGUUUUGUUCCUUCUCAAAAGACGGUUUGUAAUCAAGCUAUAUUAAGAACUUUAACAGGUGUUCUCAAAUGCAGGUUUUAAUAGCUUUACAGAUUGUAACAUUGGAACAGAGAAAGAACAUAGAAAACUUUUAAAGAACUGACAUGUUCACAAAUAUCAAGCAAAACAAGAGUUAACUAAAUGAGUUGCACUCAGAAAGUUAAAGCAAGUCUUUUAUCUUUUGCUUGGAAUACUGCUGAUCCUUGUUUUGUUUUUCAGAGUCAAGGAGAAACUUAUUUUAAACUAUUGAUGGCCUUUAAUAAUUGAGUAAGGUAUAUUCCUAUGAACAAAAUUUAGAGCAUGUUUAUUUCUCUGCCUGGUUCCUCUGGAAUUUGGGAACUAUCUGUGAAUACUCUUAACUUAUGGCAAUAUAGUUGUUUGCAUCGGUGCAAUAAGAAUCCAUUUUUCUUUGUCAGCGGGACACAAUUGGAAAAACUGGUUAUUUUACCAAGGCUUUAACUGAAAGGGUGUGUUUCUCUUUAAGGAAUCAAGCUUGACAUGCAGAGCCAAUAAAAGCCCCUUGGGGAGAACUGGCCUCAUACCUUGUCUACACAGUCCCUGCACAGGGUUCCUAACCUGUGGUUAGUAAAGAAUGUCACUUUCUAACAGGUCUGGAAGCUCCGAGUUUAUCUUGGGAACUCAAGAGGAGAGGAUCACCCAGUUCACAGGUAUUUGAGGAUACAAACCCAUUGCUGGGCUCGGCUUUAAAAGUCUUAUCUGAAAUUCCUUGUGAAACAGAGUUUCAUCAAAGCCAAUCCAAAAGGCCUAUGUAAAAAUAACCAUUCUUGCUGCACUUUAUGCAAAUAAUCAGGCCAAAUAUAAGACUACAGUUUAUUUACAAUUUGUUUUUACCAAAAAUGAGGACUAGAGAGAAAAAUGGUGCUCCAAAGCUUAUCAUACAUUUGUCAUUAAGUCCUAGUCUCAUUAAUUGUUUUCAAGCUUUUCGCCUACAUUUUAGACUAACCCUGCUUAUUCCUGUGAAUCAAGUAGUGGUCUCCUGCAGCUUGGAAGAAAAAAUAAGGGAUGGGUAAUGUAAAAAUCUGGAUCAAUAUACUGGUUCUGGGCAAUUAUCCUGCAAAUUCUGCCAGGUAAUAAAAGUGAGUAGGGUGCCCAUAAUCCGGAAGUUUCUUUGUUUAGGAAAAUAAAAACAAGGAACUUCAUAGACCCCCCCCAAAGGGGAAUUCUAUAUCUUGACAAGUAAAAUUUUAGAUGGAAAUUAUCUACAACACCACACUUACGGAAAUUGCUAUCCUCACUCUAUUAUUUGCAAAAGGGUUAUACACAGUAGCACCUUCUAACUGAAGUAUUAAACAGAGUUUCCAUUGCUGUCGUAUUUUGCUUAAUUAUUAUCCUUAUAGCAGGGAUAAUAGUUACUAACAAAAAGGAAGCAUGAAAGUUUUACUAUCACUGAGCCUGGUAGGACUUUUUAUUGGGUUUAGUGAUGCAGUUUUAAAUGAAACAUGCCGCUUUUGGAUUAAUACCUCUAGUAAAGGAAAAUUUACAGAUACUUAAAAAUCAAAUCAAAAUUAUUGAUAGGCUCAGGAAAAAUGCCAGCUUCAGCCCUGAGUGGCUACAAACCCUCUUUAAUAAAUUCCAGUCUUCUUUAUGGAAUUGGUUAACGCCUUUAUUAAGCCCUCUCUUGCUUAUAUGUCUUGUAUUGAUAUUUGGACUCUGUAUAUACAAUACUAUAACUCGAAUUGUUUCUUCUCGCCUAGAAGCAAUCAAACUCCAAAUGGUGCUGUAAACUGAACCACACAUGGACAGGCCAUUCUUCCGAGGACCCUUAGAUUGAUCCCAGGGGGAGCCCUAGCUGCUAUUCCCCAUUCAACGCCCCUUUUCAGCAGGAAGUAGCCAGAAGGAGUCGCCGCCCAAAAUCCCCUAACAGCAGUUAGUGUGGCAUCUCCACAGGAAGUAAUGUUGUAGGAGUUACUAAGAAAUUAUUUUAGGCAGAUAGAGAGGAAAAGGGGUCCUUGGGAAGUUUUCAUUUUUUAAAGCAUCUCUGGAAAAGUUUCUUGUAAAGCCCCGGCUCUUAGAGCCAGGCUGGCAACCUUUGAUAUGCAAAUGUAAGCCAUUAGAAACCAGGUCCACCCAGGCCAGGUGUGGUGGCUCACGCCUGUAAUCCCAACACUUUGGGAAGCCUAGGCAGGUGGAUCACCUGAGGUCAGGAGUUCGAGACCAGCCUGGCCAACAUGGUGAAACCCCGCCUCUAAUAAAAACACAAAAAACUAGCCAGGUGUGCUGCUGUGUGUCUGUAAUUCCAGCUACUUGGGAGGCUGAGGCAGGAGAACUGCUUGAACCCAGGAGGCAGAGGUUGCAGUGAGCUGAGAUUGCAUCAUUGCACUCCAGCCUGGGCGACAGCAAGACUCUGUAAAAAAAAAAAAAAAAAAAAAAAAAAACAGCCAGGCGUGGUAGCACGCCUGUAGUCCCAGCUACUUGGGAGGCUGAGAUGGGAGGAUCACCCUCGACUGGGGAAGUUGAGGCUGCAGUGAGCUGAAAUCGCACCACUGCACUCCAGCCUGGGUGACAGACUGAGACCCUGUCAAAUAAAUAAUGUAUGUAUGUAUAUAUGUAUGUAUGUAUGUUAACCUCAUCCCAAAACAUCCUCACAGAACAUCCAGAAUAAUGUUUGACCAAAUAUCUGGGCACCAAUGGCACAUUCAAGUUGACACAUAAAAUUAACCCUCACAAUACCGUACUGUACAACUUUUGGAGUGAAGCUGGAAUGUCAUCGCAUUUCCAAGACUAACUCAGUGUCCACAAAUGAUGCUUAAGUCAUGAGGAUCAUCUCGGAUUUGGAUUUGGAUGCCUGUCAAGCCCUCACUCUUCAGACUAAAUGUCUGAUUUGCAUGGAGAAUUAUCAAGAGAAGCAACAAUGCCAAGCAGACUAUUCCAGGUCAAAAUAGUCAAAUUAAUAAUUCAUAAAUUAUUAUAUGUUUUGAAGGUAUUGCAAAAUUAAAGUUGCAAGAACAGUACAGAUAACUUUUUUCCUGAACCAUUUGAGAGUAGGUUGCAGACCUGGUGCCCCAUCAUUUCUGAAUAUUUUAGUGUGCAUUUUCUACAAACAAGGACAUUUUCCAGCAUAACCACAAUGCACCCAUCAAUGUCGUGAAAUUAAUGUUGGUACAUUACUACCACCUAGUCCUCAGACCCUAUUCAAAUUAUACCAGUUAUCAUAAUAGUUUCUUAUAAUUUAUAGCAAAAUGAUCCAAACCAGGAGCAUGCAUUGCAUUUUUAUGAAUUUUUAAAACAAUUAAGUCUGUGUAGUGAGUGAAGCCACAGUGAUAGGAAUAUAUAAAGGCUUUGCAUCUAGAAUUUGUUCUGAAAACCCUGAGAUUCAAGUAGUACAUUAUUUCAUUUACUAUUUUACACAGAGAAGCCCUCAUUUUUAAGAGUUUGCCUUUCUGAUUUCCACCGGAAAUGAUACUAUCAGUAUCAUACUCAGAAUCUUAAUUACAUACAAGGCACUAACCUCUCACCUGUUUUCAGCUUUGUGUAAAGACAAGGGAUCAAAACAUCCCUUUCUGCUAUUUCAUACUUAAGUGUGGGAGCUGAUCCAAAGGAAGAAUAGUUUCAAAAGUUUGUAGCAAAAAAAAUUUAAAAGGUGAAGAUUUUUUCCUUGAAUGAUUCUCACCUGGCAGAUCUAUGGAAAGAUUAGCUGACUCUUUGGAUCCCUGAAUAUAGUUAAUAGAAAUUUGGAAGGACCAUGUCAAAAUUAACUAAUGUGAACUGACAAAGAUUUGGUGUUCAAAGCAAAAAUUAAACUUUGGAAAAGUGAGCAAGUACUUAAUCAGAAACAAAAAAAAAAAAAAGAAAGGAAAAGUUAGGUGAAAAUGGUUUCCAGGUGUUGUUGCUGUUAUAGUUUGAAUCAUAAAAGUUGUUAAAAGUCUGCUGUAACAAACCAUCAUAGACUGGGUGACUUAUAAAGAACAAAAAUGUAUUUCUCACAGUUCCAGAGGCUGGGAAGUCUAAGAUCAAGGCAUCAGCAGAUUCAGUGUCUGGUGAGGGCCCACUUUCUGGUUCAUAGAUGGCACCUUCUCACUGUCUCCCCACGUGAUGGAAGGGGCAAGAGGUCUCUCUUGGUACUCUUUUAUUAAGGGCACUAAUCCCAUCCAUGGGGCUCCACCUUCAUGACCUAUUCAUCUCCCAGAGGCCCUACCUGCAGAUACCAUCGUAUGGGGGAUUUGAUUUCAGCCUGUGAAUUUGGGGGAAGCGGGACAAACAUUCGUUUUGUAGCAAAAGGAGUAGAGUAAUAUCUGCCAAUAACUGGAGGAAAGAAUUGUUCUUUUAAAACUAUUAAAUUGUUUAAUGGGAUUUAAAUGAUUUCAGGAAUGAAAUGGAAAUCCUGGUAAUGGGUAGAAACAUAGGUAAAUUCUCCUUUUCCACUUACCACCACCUGUGUGAACAACAAUCAUUUCUCAUUAAUAGUCAAGAAUUUGAAGAGAUCAUGAGUAAAAAGUCUUGAUCAGAAAUUGUGUAUAGCUGUUUCCAGCAUAAAACCUUAUAUAAAAUGCAUAUUCAUAGAAGAUGCUCAAGUAUGUCAUGAAAAAUAUGAAGUUUAUUUAAAUAUUUAUACAAAUUAAAGAUUUACUGUAUUCUCUAACA
rnacentral:lncRNA from 1 species